rnacentral:rRNA from 1 species
AUGUAUGGGGAGCUGCCAUCAACUCUAGCAAACUGCACAAAUCUCAUAACCAUCAACCUCAACUGCAACAAUUUCAGCGGACAACUCACCAAGGUCAAUUUUUCUAGCCUACCCAAUCUAAUGUCUUUAGAUCUUAUGCGGAACAACUUCGAUGGCAUAAUUCCAGAAAGUAUAUACUCUUGCAGAAAUCUAAUUGCACUGCGACUAUCUUCCAAUAAGUUCCACGGCCAGUUAGCAAAAGGGCUCGGCAAUCUGAAGUCCCUGUCGUUCCUGUCACUUUAUAAUAAUAAUCUUACAAACAUAACAGAUGCACUUCAGAUUCUUGGAAGCUCCAAGAACCUCAGCACCCUUCUUAUUGGGCGUAACUUCAGGCAUGAGAUCAUGCCAGAGGAUGACACCAUUGGCAGUUUUGAAAAUAUUCGGUUUCUUGGUAUAAAUGAUUGCCCAUUAUUCGGAAAAAUACCUUUCUGGAUAUCAAAGCUAGCAAAUUUAGAGAUACUAAUAUUGUCUAACAAUCAACUCACAGGAUCGAUACCAGCCUGGAUCAAAGCUCUAAGCUAUGUCUUCUACCUUGACAUAUCAAACAACAGCCUCACAGGGGAAAUUCCAACAACAUUGACCGAUAUGCCAAUGCUAGAGUCAGCAAAGACGGAUGCCAAUUAG